GAAUAGUACCGUGAGGGAAAGGUGAAAAGAACCCCGGGAGGGGAGUGAAAUAGAACCUGAAACCCUACACUUACAAGCUGUGGGAGCGCAUUAUUCGCGUGACCGCGUACUUUUUGUAGAACGGGCCAACGAGUUACGUUAUGUGGCAAGGUUAAGCACUUAAGGUGUGGAGCCGAAGCGAAAGCGAGUCUUAACUGGGCGAAUUAGUCACAUGACGUAGACCCGAAACCGGGCGACCUACCCAUGAGCAGGAUGAAGCGAAAGUAAAAUUUCGUGGAGGUCCGAACCCACGUACGUUGAAAAGUGCGGGGAUGACUUGUGGGUAGCGGUGAAAUUCCAAUCGAGCUCGGAGAUAGCUGGUUCUCCCCGAAAUAGCUUUAGGGCUAGCCUUGAAUGUAGAGAUGUGGAGGUAGAGCACUGAAUGUCCUAGGGGGUAUUGCACUUACCGAAGACUAUCAAACUCCGAAUGCCAUUAUCUUUUAUUCAGGAGUCAGACUAUGGGUGAUAAGGUUCAUAGUCGAAAGGGAAAGAGCCCAGACCGUCAGCUAAGGUCCCUAAAUGUAUGUUAAGUGGUAAAGGAUGUGGGAUUGCACAGACAACCAGGAUGUUGGCUUAGAAGCAGCCACUCAUUUAAAGAGUGCGUAAUAGCUCACUGGUCGAGUGAUCCUGCGCCGAAGAUUUCCGGGGCUAAAACAUACUACCGAAGCUACGGCAUCAUAUGAUGAUGGGUAGGGGAGCUUCCCAUGCAGGCUGAAGCGAUACCGUAAGGAGUCGUGGACAGUAUGGGAGAGAGAAUGUUGGCAUGAGUAGCGAGAUGAGGGUGAGAAUCCCUCAGGCCGUAAACCCAAGGUUUCCAGGGGAAGGUUCGUCCACCCUGGGUUAGUCGGGACCUAAGCUCAGGCCGAAAGGCGUAGGCGAUGGACAACAGGUUGAGAUUCCUGUACUACCGAUAAUCGUUUGAGAGAAGGGAUGACACAGUAGGAUAAGCUGAGCACACUGUUGGUUAAGUGUGUCUAAGCGUUGAGGCAGACUAGAUAGGCAAAUCCGUUUAGUUAAUGCUGGGGCGCGAUGGGGAGCGAAACUAAGUAGCGAAGCAGCUGAUUUCACACUGUCGAGAAAAGUCUCUAUCGAGAUUAAAGGUACCCGUACCGCAAACCGACACAGGUGGGUGAGGAGAGUAUCCUAAGGCCAGCGAGAGAACUGUUGUUAAGGAACUCGGCAAAAUGACCCCGUAACUUAGGGAUAAGGGGUGCCCCAGCAAUGGGGCCGCAGAGAAUUGGCCCAAGCGACUGUUUACCAAAAACAUAGGUUUCUGCUAAGUCGCAAGACGAUGUAUAGGAGCUGACGCCUGCCCGGUGCUGGAAGGUUAAGGGGAUCUGUAAGAGCAAUCGAAGCAGUGAUCUUAAGCCCCAGUAAACGGCGGCCGUAACUAUAACGGUCCUAAGGUAGCGAAAUUCCUUGUCGGGUAAGUUCCGACCCGCACGAAAGGCGUAACGAUUUGGGCACUGUCUCAACAACAGACUCGGUGAAAUUGUAAUCCCGGUGAAGAUGCCGGGUACCUGCGACAGGACGGAAAGACCCCAUGGAGCUUUACUGUAGCUUGACAUUGGGUUUCGAUACUACAUGUACAGGAUAGGUGGGAGACUAAGAAAUCAGGGCGUCAGUUUUGAUGGAGUCACCCUUGGGAUACCACCCUUGUAGUAUUGGGACUCUAACCAUAGGCCAUGAAUCUGGUCUUGGGACACUGUCUGGUGGGCAGUUUGACUGGGGCGGUCGCCUCCCAAAAGGUAACGGAGGCGCUCAAAGGUUCCCUCAGUACGGUCGGAAAUCGUACGAAGAGUGUAAAGGCAAAAGGGAGCUUGAUUGCAAGACAUACAGGUCGAGCAAGGUAGAAAUACGGACUUAGUGAUCCGGUGGUUCUGAGUGGAAGGGCCAUCGCUCAACGGAUAAAAGCUACCCUGGGGAUAACAGGCUUAUCU
rnacentral:rRNA from 1 species